GGGCGGGUAGCUCAGUUGGUAGAGCGUCGUGCUUACACCGCGAGGGUCGCAGGUUCGAGCCCUGUCCCGCCCA
rfam:Enhygromyxa salina strain DSM 15201 ES-Contig_90, whole genome shotgun sequence.